rnacentral:sRNA from 1 species
GCUGGGGUGGUAGUGUAUGCCUGUAAUCCCAGCUACUUGGGAGGCUGAGUCAGGAGGAUUCCAAGUUGAACGCCAGCCUAGGUAACUUGGACAGCUCCCGUCUCAA